rnacentral:rRNA from 1 species
AGCUCCAAUAGCGUAUAUUAAUGUUGUUGCAGUUAAAAAGCUCGUAGUUGGAUUUCUGCUUGGAAUGCACGUUCUACCACGCAAGUGGUAUGAAUCAGUGUAUUUUAGGCUUCCUUUAGGAGAACUCUGAUGUCAUUUAUUUGGCGUCUUUGGGAUUCUAAUCGUUUACUGUGAAAAAAUUAGAGUGUUUAAAGCAGGCAUUUGCAUGAAUACAUUAGCAUGGAAUAAUAAGAUAGGACUUUGGUGCUAUUUUGUUGGUUUGCACACCAAGGUAAUGAUUAACAGGGACAGUUGGGGGUAUUCGUAUUUAAUUGUCAGAGGUGAAAUUCUUGGAUUUAUGAAAGACGAACUACUGCGAAAGCAUUUACCAAGGAUGUUUUCAUUAAUCAAGAACGAAAGU